rnacentral:rRNA from 1 species
AGUCGAGAAUCUUCGGCAAUGGGCGCAAGCCUGACCGAGCGACGCCGCGUGGAGGACGAAGGCCUUCGGGUUGUAAACUCCUGUCGAGGGGGAAGAAGGGUCGCAAGACCUUGACUGAUCCCUGGAGGAAGCACGGGCUAAGUUCGUGCCAGCAGCCGCGGUAAGACGAACCGUGCGAACGUUAUUCGGAAUCACUGGGCUUAAAGCGCGUGUAGGCGGGACGGCACGUCGGUCGCUGAAAUCCCCCGGCUUAACCGGGGAACUGGCGUCGAUACGACCGUCCUGGAGGGGCGUAGGGGGACCUGGAACUUCCGGUGGAGCGGUGAAAUGCGUUGAGAUCGGAAGGAACGCCCGUGGCGAAAGCGAGGUCCUGGACGCCUACUGACGCUGAGACGCGAAAGCCAGGGGAGCGAA